GCCGGAAUAGCUCAGUUGGGAGAGCGUUAGACUGAAGUUGUUUACGAAACAGUUAUCCAAAGGCCCCCAAGUUCAAUCCCGGGUUCCGGCA
rnacentral:tRNA from 1 species